ACGCUCGACACCUACGUGAGGCAGCAGUGGGGAAUAUUGCACAAUGGGGGAAACCCUGAUGCAGCGACGCCGCGUGGAGGAAGAAGGUCUUCGGAUUGUAAACUCCUGUUGUUGGGGAAAAAGAGGAUGGUACCCAACAAGGAAGUGACGGCUAACUACGUGCCAGCAGACGCGGUAAUCUGAGCGGGCUGGCAAGGC
rnacentral:rRNA from 1 species